AAGGCUGCAAGUGUAACUACAUUUCUCCAAGAGAAAAAUAUAAAGAUGUAUUUAAUAAUCAUGUUGAAGACUUUGGAAGAAAAUAUUAAUGACAGGAACAUGGAAAACUAACAAUGAAAAAGAAAAAUGAGGAGUGAAUGGCACCAUAACAAACAAUAGUAUGUCACCUGCAUCCGUGUGAAGAGACCACCAAACAGGCUUUAUGGACCACAGUCACAUGAUUUGUGAGUACACUGGGCAGGAAAGAACAGUCCAUGAUAUUCACACGGAGUGAAAUAACUAUUACACCUGCCACAUUGGCUCCCACUGAGGAAUGACUGCUUCCUUGAUUACAAAAAUGGACACUGAAGAAGAUUCAUAAGUUCCAGCUGCAAUGUCCUCAAAUAAGCCUGAUUCCUCAAUUUCCUCUUCUGUCACUCCCAACCUCAUACUUUUGUUUGUGAGUAUCAACUGAAGUAAGAAGAUGAAUGAAGUGCCCAGAGUAAUGUCCAGCAGACCACGGACACAAAACCAAAGCUGGAUUACUUUUUCUCUCCUCUUCUCUUUUGAUGCUAAUUUUGAAGGUGACAUUGGGAGAAGAACAUCCUUUGAAACCCUGACAUUCUAGAAAUCCAGAGCUUCCUUGAGUUUCAACUAUUCUUGGAUGUAUGCAAAGUGGCCGGAAGCCAUUAGUGAUUUACUCAUUGGUCUUAACAAGCAAGCUAAUAUGCCCCCAAAGGUCCUCUUGUAACACAAGCAAAAGGAAGCCAAGGGUUGAACCA